rnacentral:misc_RNA from 1 species
GCCAGUAAAAAAAUUCUAGUAUCUCAAUGGAAUUACCUAUAUAAAAAGGACAAGGAUAAUUUCUAUGUUAAUUAUAACACAACAUUUAAGAACACGUAAUCUUGCAAGCUUUAGUUUUCCGCUUCAUCUUGCCAACAAAAAUUCAAAAGAAAUUAGAGGGUAUGUCAAUGGAAAAAAUUACAAAAUUCACCAAUUAACUUGCAAAGUCUCAAAGAUGGAACCAAAAAACAAAAACAAAAAUAUUGCAAUGUAACCAUAUUUCUUAUAAUAAUGAUCACAAGAUUUGGAAAUGUAGACAUGAUUUCUUAUAAAAGUGAUGUCAAAAUAAACCACCCAUCGUCUAGGUUUCAAAUAUUUGACCAGCACGUUGCAUUUCUCUUACUCUCUUAGUGAUCCUAUCCAAUCAGAGUAACAAUUAAAACCCUAAAAAUACAAAAAGAAAGCCAACCCAAAUUCAAAGAGACCACUGU